AGUGAACGCUGGCGGUAGGCCUAGCACAUGCAAGUCGAACGGCAGCACAGGAGAGCUUGCUCUCUGGGUGGCGAGUGGCGGACGGGUGAGGAAUACAUCGGAAUCUACUCUGUCGUGGGGGAUAACGUAGGGAAACUUACGCUAAUACCGCAUACGACCUACGGGUGAAAGCAGGGGACCUUCGGGCCUUGCGCGAUUGAAUGAGCCGAUGUCGGAUUAGCUAGUUGGCGGGGGAAAGGCCCACCAAGGCGACGAUCCGUAGCUGGUCUGAGAGGAGGAUCAGCCACACUGGAACUGAGACACGGUCCAGACUCCUACGGGAGGAAGCAGUGGGGAAUAUUGGACAAUGGGCGCAAGCCUGAUCCAGCCAUACCGCGUGGGUGAAGAAGGCCUUCGGGUUGUAAAGCCCUUUUGUUGGGAAAGAAAUCCAGCUGGCUAAUACCCGGUUGGGAUGACGGUACCCAAAGAAUAAGCACCGGCUAACUUCGUGCCAGCCGCCGCCGUAA
rnacentral:rRNA from 1 species